rnacentral:rRNA from 1 species
GAGUUUGAUCGUGGCUCAGAGUGAACGCUGGCGGCAGGCCUAACACAUGCAAGUCGAACGGCAGCACAGUCCCGCAAGGGAUGGGUGGCGAGUGGCGGACGGGUGAGGAAUACAUCGGAAUCUACCUUGUCGUGGGGGAUAACGUAGGGAAACUUACGCUAAUACCGCAUACGACCUACGGGUGAAAGCGGCGGACCGCAAGGCGUCGCGCGAUUGGAUGAGCCGAUGUCCGAUUAGCUAGUUGGCGGGGUAAAGGCCCACCAAGGCGACGAUCGGUAGCUGGUCUGAGAGGAUGAUCAGCCACACUGGAACUGAGACACGGUCCAGACUCCUACGGGAGGCAGCAGUGGGGAAUAUUGGACAAUGGGCGCAAGCCUGAUCCAGCCAUGCCGCGUGUGUGAAGAAGGCC